AUGAAAAACACGGAAAAUGCAACUCAAGGUGGACUUUUCUUGUUUUAUUCAGACAGGGAGGUUGUGAGGCCUGAACCUGUAGGCUUUAGAUACUGGAGGACACCUGAAAAAACACAGUCCGUCCUCCAUCAGGCAUCAGGAUCUGUGAGCUCCGAGGGAGGACAAAAUGGACCGCAAGCCUGGAAUCCAAAAGCCAAGAUGGACACGGGCCAUGCUGGACCUCAUCCCGUGUUGAGAGAUCCCACACGCAGGCGUGGAAGUGCACCGGAGUCCUUCAGCUCCUCAAUUUCAUCCAUCACUAUCACUUCCAGGAAGGUCACACAGAUUUCCAAGCCUUUGUGUACAACGAUGAAUGACCUCGCCGAUGGACGAAGAAAAGCCUUAGUGGUCAAAGUCACCGAACAGAGAACGACAAGCACCACCAGCCGGCCCAUCAUCUCUGCCUCUGGCUAUAAUCAUGAAGAGAUUGACCACGGCGUGGUACUCAGGAGAAAGGCAACCAUUGUGAAAAUGACCGAACAGAGAGAGUGUUUCAGUCCAUCACAAUACAGACACAGCUACACUGAAGGACUCAAUGAAGCCCAGUUAAGGAAUGAAUCUGAAGUCAAUCCCUCACCAUUAAACCAAACACUCACUAUAUCUUUAGAGCCAGGAGGAAACCAGUGGAGGUCCCAGCACAGAUCUAGCCUGUCUCUUUACCUUAACAACCUAAAUACUAGCAGCACAGCAAGGGAGAGCAACACCAAAAAAUACAAGCCACCUCGAAGGCCUCUCAGCUGCGACCCAAGCUUGUUUAACUGCACAGAACUUGGCACUAAUGCAGUUAAACAUCCAGCAUUUUACAACAAAAGCUCUCCUGUUCCCCAGAAGACAAAUAUUGACCUUGUUAGUUCCAGCAGCAGUGAAGCAAGAAGGUGCUCAGCCUCCAGUGGCGAGGACGGGAGCGCAGGGAAAGAGGGAUUGGAGUUGGAUCGAAGGCUUGAGGAGCGAGAGGGACCUAUUUCAGGAAUCAAACCUCUCACGCUACUCAAAGCAGCAGGUAAUAGCAGAACCUCUGUGGAUAUUCGGCGGUAGAUGUACAAGAACAUACUGUAGGCUGAGGCCGCGCUGUGCUUCUUUGAUGUAUAAUGGAUGAGUAUGAUCGUGCAUGUGAGAGAGCAGAGGUUUUUAAUUGAAGUUUUCAUGGCAGGUACGCACGGUAGCGGUGGACUACCCUGAAAUGAGAGAUUUCUCUGCUGUCUCUCUCUUUCGGUCUUGCGUUUUCUCAUCUUUUCAUUUUCCCACACAUCUCUUUGCAUGCAUAAUCUAUUUCUACCCUGCUUUCAAUACCGGUUUUUGAGCUUCCGUGGGAAUUUAGAGCUGCUACACACACAGAGAAAUCUGACAGCCACCGAAAUACAUGCAUACACACAACUAUCUGAGGAUACGAUUGGCGUAUGACAUCAAAGUACUGCGAGUGUGAUUGGAGAGCAGACAACUCUUUUAGCUUUUGAACUGCUCUCACGGUACUUUGAUGUCAUAUGCCGUACAGUCUAUGCAGCGUCGAUGCACCUCGAACAAGCCUAGUGUCGGCAGCAGCUUCCGGUUCACGCAGACUUUUAAGAUUUUGAAUCGCUCUCACAGUACUUUGAUGUCACACUUCGAUCGGUCUGCGCAGCUCCAGCGCAUCUCGAACAAGACUCUUUGCUGCAUGUUUAGCCCCGGCCCACCAAUUCUACAUCACUGCCUAUUUAGCCCCGCCCACCGAUUCUACAUCACUGCCUUUUUAGCUGCGCCCUCCGAUUCUACAUCACUGCCUUUUUAGCCCCACCCACUGAUUCUUCAUCACUGCCUGUUUACCCCCGCCCACCCAUUCUACCUCACUGCCCGUUUAGCCCUGCCCACUGGUUCUACAUCUCUGCCUAUUUAGCCCCGCCCAUCGAUUCUACAUCACUGCCUGUUUAGCCCAGCCCACUAAUUCUUCAUCCCUGCCUGUUUAGCCAAAUGCACUCUCUGCAUUUUCUUGUUUAACAGCACAAGUAUGUCAGUAUUUUAACUAACAGUAGUUUUGGCCUAGCAGAACUAUAUAUCAUUC
ensembl:lncRNA